ensembl:lncRNA
CAGGAGGGCAGAGCCCACCUGAGCACAAUGCCACAGAGGUGAAGAUGUGGGAAUCAAGUUUUGUUUCUACAUUAGAAUUAGGUUUGUGACUUUUCACGUUUGUCAGAACACAUCUUAAAAGACGUUCACUUUAGGGAAAGAAAGUUGCUACUGGAGAAACCUUCUGAACAUGGACAUUUAUGGGGGUUGCAGCAACUUACAAUGAAAGAUUUGAAAAAGGAAGCUUUGGAUAUCUCAUGAGAAAGUCCGGUUUGGUCCACUGCUGUUGGCUUGGUGUUAUAGACGCAGAAGAAGAGCCAAGUAAACAUUUCACAAUAAAUAAAUCAUACAAUGAA